rnacentral:rRNA from 1 species
GAUGAACGCUGGCGGCGUGCCUAAUACAUGCAAGUCGAGCGAACGGACGAGGAGCUUGCUCCUCUGACGUUAGCGGCGGACGGGUGAGUAACACGUGGAUAACCUACCUAUAAGACUGGGAUAACUUCGGGAAACCGGAGCUAAUACCGGAUAAUAUAUUGAACCGCAUGGUUCAAUAGUGAAAGACGGUUUUGCUGUCACUUAUAGAUGGAUCCGCGCGGCAUUAGCUAGUUGGUAAGGUAACGGCUUACCAAGGCAACGAUGCGUAGCCGACCUGAGAGGGGAACCGCCACAACGGGAACGAGACACCGGUCCAGACCCCUAGGGAAGCAAGCAGUGGGAAACCUUCCGAAUGGGCGGAAAGCUGAACGGGGCAAGGCGGCUGGGGUGAGGAAGGUCUCCGGUCCGUAAAACUUGUUAAUAAGGAAAGAAAUAAGGGGUAAGAAACGAUGAAAGUCUGAACGGUACUAAUCAAAAAAGCCACGGCAAACUACGU